AUUUAAUUCACAAAUGAUCCAUUCACUUCAGAACAAACAAAUAAAUGAAAAUAGCUCCAUAACCACAGAUGUGACAACUCCUCCUGGGGCACUGUCACCCAAUCUUUACUCAAAUGAAUGCAUGCAUUCCCACCAGAAUACAGGAUGUGGGGACGCGUGGCUCCAUUCACAUUAGUGCCAUUCUCAGAAGCAUGACUAGGUGGGUGGCUCCUACAGAUGACGUUUAACUGCCUUCAUCUUCACAGAGGACAGCAAUCACCUCAUUGAGCUUUAUAGCUUACAGAGGCUAAAAACCACUCUACGGAGGAAAUCCAGGAUUUCCAGUGGUACUACAGGAGAUGAAGCUGUACACAGGCUACUGAGGACUGAAGGACAACUUACUUAGGAUUCGGAAUGACUACCCAGCUUGUGAGUGGACUAAGGCCUUUGAUUCUCCUGCUUCUUCUCCUCCCUCCUUGAUCUUUUAAUUGCUCAUAAAAACUCUAUGAGGUCAGCAGAGCAAGAUGCAAAGAAUGUGUCCAAAUAGUCCAUUUGGUUUCUUUUGAGUCAAUCGAGUUAAAGUGUUUUAAGAGAAGAUCAAAUCUAUUGGCUAACAAGAGGACCAGAGGUCAUGUGUGGAUUUUGAUUGUCCAUACCAUGCGUGUCCAAACCAGAAUGAGACUCACAGAAGCAGAGAAUAAGGAGCUAUGAGAGAAGGAAUAGAAUUGUUUUUCAGCUUUACACAUUUGAGAGAUGCAGAAACCGAUGCCCAGAGAGCAUAACGGACUUGGUCAACGUCACAGAACUUGUUUAAAGUAGGAUAAAAAAGCACGAAGUCAUUUAAUAUUUGAUAACUAGCAUCAAGUAUGUUAUAUUGAAUAUAUAUAUUUAUAUUAAAUAAUAAAAAGUUUCAUCUAAGGCUCUAUUUUUAAAUAACAGUUGUUUUCCAUUAUAGAUCUGCAAAGACAAUUUUAUAAGUCAUCUGUUAAUAAUAUGUUAUUUCAAAGCAAACUAUCCAUCAGGCAAUCAUAAAGUAUGCUAGGAGGUGGCAUGGCUUUUGUUUCACAGAAGAAAACAGAGUGAGAUAUAUUUGAUGACUGAAGCAUAGAAGUUCCUUUGAGCCAUUAGCCAACCUGCUACUGUUCCCGCAAAGAUAUCUUAAAGGACUGCACAAAGUGAGCACAACUGUUCCUCCUGGGAGGUAGAAAGCAGGAGGGGACAGGCAGGGAAAUAUGAAAAAUGAAUCUUUCCAUCCCCUCAUUUGCUUGUCACUGUACACACUCUCAUGAGACAUAAGACACACUCUUAUGUCUGGAAGGUGUGAUUUCAAAUUUUACACAACCUGAAAGAAGGAAAGGUUCUCUGUCGACACUGGAGAGGUAAUAGGGCUUGGCAUGGGGAGAGAUGAAAUUCGAGUUACACUUGGGACAACUUUAAUUUCAAUUUAUAAUAAAACUCUAUUACAAGGCUAUACUACAGAUAGUCAGUAGAAGACUCAACUCAAGAGCAGAGAGGGCUCUGGAGAAAUGUAGUAGACAUGGAAAAUGACUUUUGCAUGGGAGAAAGAAUACAGAGAAGAGGAAAAAAUAAAGCCUCCAGCAGUAAACCAGGUCUUCCUUGACCCUCAGAAAAAUCAAGAAAGGAAUAUUAACAGUACUGUGGAUUGAAGAAAAGCCAAAUAAACCUUCCGCAAUAAUAGCUUGUCUUAUAGAUUUGCAAAAAGUAAUCACUGGAGAAAAUGACAGGGCCAGCAUAAUUCCAGAGGAAAGUGAAAUAAGAAAGACACCUUUCAUUUUCUCUAUGGGGACAGAAAAUAUGUGGUGGCAAUGUAGGGUUGUCUCAGAAAUCUUAUUGGCCACAUUUAUUCCUCUCAUUAAAUGUUGAUACGUGUGACACAUAAUAUGUUCUGUUAAUUAAGCCUCUUAACAUAACUUCGUGGACUUCAGAAGUUUGUAGGACUCAGGGGAAGAAGAUUCUACAACCCAGCAAACUUCCAAGAAAGCAAUUACCCAGAAGAGUUUAUCCAAGUGUGCGUGGCUGACAAAGCUGCCUCACCAUUUCAGAACAGUGCAUCUGCUUCUCUAACUGAAUGCUGGCUGAUCCAGAGGAGGAGGUUCACCCCAGGAUUUUGUGGUAUCAGGAAAAGGUACCUCAAGGAAUGGCUCCAUAGCAUUCCAGUACUAACAUUCUGUGCUUCGAAUCAAUCAAUCACUGUAAAAUCUGCCCAGAAGACUCCAUCAUCUCUUUCCUCCAAGGCAAGAGAAGGAAAUAGGACAAAAGCAGAUGCUACACUGAACAGAUGACUUCUUCCCAUCAGCACAGCCAUUGCUCACACCCUGACUGCCAUCCUGCCAUCUUGUUCAGGGACCUACAUGGGCUUCAUUGAAAACUCAAAAACAAUUCAAAUUCUUAUUUGUCCAAAAAAGCCCAGAGCCUUCUCCAUCUAGUCCCAAGCUGAGAACAAUCUACGGCCCUUUCAUCCUUUUAUCCUUUUAUUUCACACUUCUUGGACACCUGCCAUAUUUCCUUCCUUCAUUUUGGUAUGAAGUCAGAGGUCAAAUUCAAGACCUGUUAGAAAAGCAUUCCAGAUCUCACAAAUGAUGAUCAGUGCAUUUAGCCCACAUCAGGGAAUCCAUCGCUUUUACUCCAUUAAUUCUCAUUUCUGCCCACUGGGCACAGAACCUUACAGGAAGCACUAGAAGCUUGGAUUGUGCCACAAGGACGUUACCAUCUAGUUGGAGAGACCAAAGCACAGGAAAUAAGGACCUCCUUACAAGUGAAACAUGAAUCCAAAAUGCCAGCUGGGAAGAGCAAAAAGCAAUUAGGAAGUAAGAGAAUUGUAGUUCUGUUUGUUUCUACUCCCACAGCCAUUUAAAGUCAUUGGACUUAUGGAAUUGGAAGUGGCCUCAGAGACCAUCUAGCUACCUCUUUUAUUUUAAGUAAGAGUUCUUUAAUAAUUGGUUCUUAUUUGUAUGUUUUAUGCAAAUUUAUAAUGUUUUAAAAUGAUUCAAGUUUAGAAUAAGACUUCUAAUUAACACCUGGAAGUCAAGUUGAAUGAUUAUUUAAUACACUUAACCAUAAUGUAAUUAACCAUAAACAUACAAAUGAAUGUUUAAGUUUCAGAAUGGAAAUACAACCAGAAACACAAUAAAUAUAUAUGGAAACUAUUGUUUUCUGCUAACUAUAGAGAAUAUUAGGCUACAAAA
rnacentral:lncRNA from 10 species